UAGGCCCUACGGGACGCAGCAGUGAGGAAUAUUGGUCAAUGGCCGAAGGGCUGAACCAGCCAAGCCGCGUGAAGGAAUAAGGCCCUACGGGUCGUAAACUUCUUUAGUCAGGGAACAAAGGGUGCCACGUGUGGCGCUGUGAGUGUACCUGAAGAAUAAGCAUCGGCUAAAUCCGUGCCAGCAGCCGCGGUAAUAAGGAGGAUGCGAGAGUUAUCCGGAUUUAUUGGGUUUAAAGGGUGCGUAGGCGGUUUGUCAAGUCAGCGGUAAAAAUUCCGGG
rnacentral:rRNA from 1 species